rnacentral:rRNA from 1 species
CUGGGGUUCGGGUCGGUGGUUUGCCGCUUCGUGUGGCUACUGCCGUGCUCGACUCUUACUAGCUGGUGCGUCUUGCGGUGCUCUUCAUCGAGUGCCACAGGAGCCUGGCAUGUUUACUUUGAAAAAAUUAGAGUGCUCAAAGCAGGCGGUUCCGCCUGAAUAGUGUUGCAUGGAAUAAUGGAAUAGGACCUCGGUUCUAUUUUGUUGGUUUUCGGAACUUGAGGUAAUGAUUAAGAGGGACGGUCGGGGGCAUUCGUAUUUCGGUGUUAGAGGUGAAAUUC